rnacentral:rRNA from 1 species
AGCAGCCGCGGUAAUUCCAGCUCCAAUAGCGUAUAUUAAAAGUUGUUGCAGUUAAAAGCUCGUAGUUGAAUUUCGGGGUCAGUAGAUUGGUCGUGCCACUGGUAUGUACUGGUCUCACUGAUUCCUCCUUCCUGAUGAGCCGUAAUGCCAUUAAUUUGGUGUUGCGGGGAAUCUGGACUGUUACUUUGAAAAAUUAGAGUGUUUAAAGCAGGCUAACGCUUGAAUACAUUAGCAUGGAAUAAUGGAAUAGGACGUUCGAUCCUAUUUUUGUUGGUUUCUAGGAUUGACGUAAUGAUUAAUAGGGAUAGUUGGGGCAUUAGUAUUCAAUUUGUCAGAGGUGAAAUUCUUGGGAUUUAUUGAAGACUAACUACUGCGAAAGCAUU